UACGUAGGGGGCAAGCGUUGUCCGGAAUCAUUGGGCGUAAAGAGCGUGUAGGCGGCCCGAUUAGUCCGCUGUGAAAGUCCAGGGCUCAACCCUGGAAUGCCGGUGGAUACUGUCGGGCUAGAGUCCGGAAGGGGCGAGUGGAAUUCCUGGUGUAGCGGUGAAAUGCGCAGAUAUCAGGAGGAACACCAAUGGCGAAGGCAGCUCGCUGGGACGUGACUGACGCUGAGACGCGAAAGCCAGGGGAGCGAACGGG
rnacentral:rRNA from 1 species